GACGUAGGGCGCGAGCGUUGUCCGGAUUUAUUGGGCGUAAAGAGCUCGUAGGCGGUUUGUCGCGUCUGCUGUGAAAACCCGGGGCUCAACUCCGGGCCUGCAGUCGAUACGGGCUGGCUUGAGUGCGGUAGGGGAGACUGGAAUUCCUGGUGUAGCGGUGAAAUGCGCAGAUAUCUGGAGGAAUACCGGUGGCGAAGGCGGCAUCCUGGACCGAUAUGACACUGAUGAGCGAAAGCCAGGGAGCAAACGGGAUUAGAGUACCCGAG
rnacentral:rRNA from 1 species